ACUUAUUAAAUGUUACUCUCUCGACCAUACAGAAGCUGUGUAAUUCUGUUUGUUUCUGACUCAUAAUAUAACUUGAAACAUGGUGGCAGCGGUAAAAAGUUACAUAUUUUCGUAGAACAGUUAUUAUUCUUCUCCCUGAAGUCUAUUAUGUAUCUGCAAACUGUGAUUUGGCCUGGAUUUCGCCAGCUUUCUGAGAGUAAUUCCUGCAUGUGUCCCACAUAUCAGGCACAAACUUCUAUCCAAGAGAGCAAAGUCCUGAAAUCAAGGGUUUAUCUGGAAGUCCUCAGAAGUCACCUAACAUGAAGCAAGCAAUAUGGACAAGGUUAGGAAGAAGUCAUUGUCGUGCUGGAGGGAUUCCAUGACAUUUGCUCCAGCAACAAUCGCUCUUGUUUUAAAUUCUACACACUAAACAAAUGACUAACUUCAACCCUGGGUUUAACGCUAUACCCUACCCUAAACCUAACAUAGGACCCUAUUGCAAACCUAACCCUAACCCUACAUCUUACAUAAAACGAAGUCCGGAGCAACUGUUGCAGGAGCAAAUGUCUUGUCACCACUGGAAGAUGGACUCGACAAACUCGGUCAAAGGUCAAGAAAAUUAUCAGAAAUAUGCUGUGAGAUCCAGUGCUUUACCUCAUAGCUGAGAGGAGGCUUACACAGCUGAUAGAUGACAGUGCUAUGUAAAUCAUGUCACUCGGUGUACAACAUGGAUGCACCCCCUAUCUGGGAAAGUCUACCAGAGCUAAAGAUGUGACACCAAUCUUGACAUCUUCAUCUGCACUGACUGUCUGGUGCGAUCGUUUGUUGGUACAUACAUGGACAUGAUGUAUAAUCCACCUGUAUAGAAAGACCAAAUGUUAUAUCCUUUGAAACAUACAACAAAGGAACCUGUUUUGUAAAUACCUCUUUUUCUUAUCUCUGAGAGAGACGACUACCAGGGACUGGUACUUUGACACCAGACAUUAUACAUGCUCUGUUUUUGGUGCUCCACUUAAUAUGUACUUAAUAUGGAAAUUUCCACCAUGUAAAUCAAAUUGAACGAACCAAAUGCUGAUUUAAAAGACUAUCUGCAUUCGCUACUUAUGAACCAGGAUGGGAAAUGGUUUUUGUCUCACCUGCAUAGCAGAGUGAGACUAUAGGCACCCGCCGCUUUUCCGACGGCGGCGGCGUCGGCGUCAACACCAAAUCUUAACCUAAGGUUAAGUUUUUGAAAUGUCAUCAUAACUUAGAAAAUAUAUGGACCUAGUUCAUGAAACUUGGACAUAAGGUUUAUCGAGUAUUACUGAACAUCCUGCUUGAGUUUCAUGUCACAUGACUAAGGUCAAAGGUCAUUUAGGGUCAAUGAACUUUGGCCAUUUUAGAGGUAAUUAUUAGAUUGCUGUCAUAACUUUCAAAGUUUAUAGAUAUAGUGUAUAAAGUGUGGAUAUAGGGGUAAUCAAGUUUCACUGACAAGUUUUAGAUCACAUGAUCAAGGUCAAAUGUCAAUGAACUUAGUAUUGUAUCAUAUGAAUGGUGUUUUUUGUGAAUAAUUAUUUGAUAGUAGUUUUCAAAGUCAGCACUGCUGCUAUAUUGAAUUGCGUGAUGCAGGUGAGACCGCCAGAGGCAUUCCACUUGUUAUUUUUUAGGGGCUAUUUUUGUCCACAAUGGGGGUGAUUGCUGACUUUUUGGGGCUAUUUCUUUCAUAUUAAGAGCUACAUUUUUUGCAACAAGCACUUAUGCUGCAAAAGCAUUUCUCAUCAUUCUGCUGUAUGUAGAAAAUUUAUUUUUAGACAAUAUUAGCGCCCCAAAGUGUUCAAUUUUGUGAAUUUUCCAACACUGUCAUGAACCCAUUUUUAGGUAUUUUAUGAUGACUUUUGUGUAUCUCAAAGAAGCAGGUCCAAGCUAUUAUCUCUGAACAGUGAUUUUCAGUUUAAAUUAAAAAAAAAGACCUUUUCUCUUUCUUAAAACCUUUUAUUCUGUUUCAAACUUGAUCGAGAAUGAAAUUCUGUUUUUGAGAAAACGUACACAUAAAAAGCACGAAUUCCAUUUUGCAGUGAGUUUUCUCCCUAAAAGUAUAGAACCAAAACAGAUUUUUCGUUUUGAUUUACUGGUAAACAGAAAAUCACUGUCCCUAAUUAUUUGCUGACUUUCCAAAUUAUCUGAAUUAUCUGUUGUUUGAUUAAUGGAUGCAUAGAAUGUAGAACAUGAUUACUAGGAGAAAAUAUGUGCACAAGGUUACAAAUGAUAUCCAAGUAUCAUGAGGUUUAUAAUAAAUAUGGUGUGGUAAUUAGGGCUUGUAGGUUUUUGUGGAGUUAACUCGGUUUACAUGAAGUUAGUAAUUGUAUUUAUUUUGUGUUUACUAUUCCGCAAAAGUGGACCCAAAGGUUUUCCAGAGUUUUCCUCGAAUGAAUUUUAUCUCUGGUUUUUUACCCUGGAUCUACUUGUCGUAGAAUAAUUGUUUAAAGGGGAACGUAAAGGCUUGUUUACUUUAUGCACACAAUAAUAAUACUGUACUGGAUUAAUGAAAUCAAAAAUUGGAAAGCGCGAAUUUAACCCAUCCCAGGGUCAUCAUUUAUUUGAGUUGCCGAAGUUCUCUUCAAUCUUUCGCCCUAGACUCUUAACUUGCUUCUGGAUGGCUCUGCGCCAAUUAUGUGAUACCCCUUAACCCUAUUAGGACUGGGAGGGGGCCAUGAUGGCCCCCCUCGACGCUUUGCACAAUAUUUCCGAAACGCAAAAGGUAGCUCCGCAAAAUUUUAUGACUUUUUUCUUUCAAGCCUCGCAAAACUUUUGAGACCAAAUUUGCGACCUACGGGUAUAGCAUCGGGACGCUACGUGACUUUUUACGAGACAAUGUCAUGCCGAAAAUGGAUCAUUUUUAUACUUUCUGUACAAAGUCUGUGGGAGAUGAAAUUCAUAAAAGUGAUUAUUUUUCAUUCUAAUUGGUCUGCCUAAUUAAUAUAGAGUUUAACUUAGUUGUUAAGUGGUCUGUAAUAAUUUCCAUUGAAAAAAAAAAAGAAAAACAAAAGAUGAAAAAACAAAGAAAUACAUAAAUUCUAAAAACAAAGAAAUACAUGAGGAAAAAAUUGGCUUUCGCAAUUUUUCUUUGUGGAAACCUUUAAAUUAGUUUACAAAUAUGACAUCUGGAAAAAAAAAUAAAAUUUGAAGUGAAAUUUGGUGUUAAAUAUGCAAAUACUGGUUUACACGAAUAAAUUUGCAUAUAUUAUUCAUAAUGAAUAAAAAAUUAUUUUCAGAAUUCUUUUUUUUAUACUGGCUUGUAGUUUAUGCGGUAAAGAAUGCGCAAACGGCGGCCGAGAUCAGAAGGGGGGCCAUCAAGCCUAUCAUGCCCCCCCCCCCAGUCCUCAUUAUGUCUCAAAUAGCCCAGUCCUUUUCUCUGAUUUUAUUUGUAAUUGCUUUUUCAUGUGACCAGCCACCCACAAAGCAACAAUAAGUUGCCAGGGAAGCUUCUCUGUAAAUAGCCAAAAUAGCAAAUUUGAUCCUCAAAAUGAAAAAAGAAAUACGGUAUCUUCUUCUUCAUACUGUCAGAAUUUUAGAUUAGAAAAGUUAAAUAGAAAAAAAAAUAGAUACAAGAGUUUCUUUGACAUUAGUUUUUUGCAGGCUGCUUGAAAGUUCACUUGCGUCCACCUUGAACACAAAGAUCCCCCCCCCCCCCCCAUUUGAAUUUGUGCGUAAUGCAGCACAAUAGCUUGAUAUACACUUAUUUUCCAUGAAUAUCAUUACUAUGUUCUGUCCAGUUUCAUAAUUUAUUAUGAUACAAAAAGAGUUUAUGAUAAUUUUUUUUAUUUCAUAUUCUAAAUAAGAGAUUAAGGCUAUUUCAGAUGCAGGAAUAGCAGUUUGUUCUAAGCUAAUUCAGUCUAUUUUUUUAUAUUAAUUUCACAAAAUAUUUUUUGUAUCAUCUGCAUAGAUAAUGAAAUGUGAUAUUUCAAAGGAUUCAACUUUGUCAUUAAAGGAGAAUGAAACCCUUGAAAUUAGCUGAAUCCAUAUCAAAGAGAAAAAUCAAAGAAACAUAUUGUUGAAAGUUUGAGGAAGAUUGAAUGAAUAAUAAGAAAGUUAUGAGCAUUUGAAUAUUGAGAUCACUAGUGCCAUGUAGAUCCUCCCAUCGGCAAUGCGACCAAGAUCUGUGAUAUCACACACGUACAACUCCCUCAUUACUUUAGUACUUAUUUCACUUAUAUUCUCACUUUUAUAGAGUCUAUCACAAGGUGAGGUGUUCUCUUUAUGAGAUGACAAGUACAGAUGUUUCACAACAUUAUAUCAUUGAUGAAUCGUUUGUCAUAUGAUUAGAAUGAGCAAAAAGAGAUGUUUUGGGGUAUAUUUUCAGUGUCCAAAUGGGAGAGUUGUACGUGUGUGACAUCACAGAUCUUGGUCGCAUUGCCAAUGGGAGGAUCUCCAUAGCAUUAGUGAUCUCGACAUUCAAAUGCUCAUAACUCUUUUAUUGCUAGUCCUAUUUUACUCAAAGUUUUGUUGAUCUUAUUCUUUGAUUUUUCUGCUUUCACAAAAGCUAACUUGCUCCAAGAGUUUCAUUCUCCUUUAACACAACAAACACCCAAGUACACUUCAUUGCAGGAUAACUCAUGUUUCGGAGAGAAUGUUUUUGGACAAAGUAUCAGAUCAAUAGUUAUUGAAAGAAGUUAACUAAAUUGGUCCUGAGAUGAAAAAGGUCACAAGUCAAAAGUCGCAGAGGUCAUUUUGUACCCCCACAAUAUCCUUUUUUCAUGAAAAAAUAAAUAACUGUGUGAAGAUUCAACUUCAAACUUACCUCUUGCGUAUGGGUAUGACAAAGCUCAUGAAUCCAUCUAUUUUAUAUCAAUUUUUGUUUCAUUAGUCCCAGUAAUAUAUAGUGCUAGACUGCUAGUGAUAUGUUUUUCUUUUUGUUUCAUAAUAUCCAGAGUAUAUAGUCAUGGUGUUAGAUUUUUGAAAAGUUUUAUAAAUCUAGCAAAAUGAUUCUUCGAAAUUGUUUCACGAAUAGACUGAAAGUCCUGCCUAAUUGUUAAUGUGCAUAUGAUAUUUCAUGUGCAGUCUCAUUGAUUCAUACACAGUAGAGUGCAUCUACUGAGGGUGAUCCAAUCAAUAUGGUGAUCUGUUUCUUUCCACAUGCAAGUGGAAAUUAAGAGCAAUUUUUUAGUCACACUCAAAUCUUUGUGAAACACUCCUUUGAUUUGUCUCUUAUGUCACAUAUAAUGCCAGAUAGCUUGGACCUGCCCAAUAAUGUUUGUUUGUCUGUACUAUAUACUUGUUUUGUAUUCAUGAUUUUAUACGUAUAUGUAUAUGUAAGACCAGCAGCCUGGAAGAUUUAUUCAAGUUGCAGGACCAUAGCAGUUGACCUCGAUUGAUGGUGGUAGGCCCUAAACCUUACAAACAUGGCUUCCCGUCUGGUUUGAGCUGGGAUCUUCCUGCCAGAAUCACACAAUUAGUGACGUCACUACCGAGAGAUCUAUUUUUCAGUAUGCAGAGAAGGGCACUGGACACUGUUGUGCAUGGUAUACAACUUACCACAAUGUAAGUGCGUUAAUAAUGAUUUCAAUGAUAUUUUGUGUAGCCUAGAGUAUGCAAGACAAUGCAAUCGGUUUUCCAGUAAUUAUGUACUGAGGGCAAUAACUUUUGUGAAAAUAUUGGGUGGCAAUUUUCCCCAUAUCAGGAUUUUCUCUCUCUUUUCUUUUAAUGACUGCAAUCCCUUCUCUUGACCUUUACUGUUAUUUCUUCCCAUUUCUGUAUCCUAUUGUUGGGUAUAGUCUUUGUUUCACAUUGUUGCAACAUGAUAUUUGCCAUGACUGAGUUAAUAAUUUGAUAAAAAGAUAAACAAUUUUUAUAAGAAAUUUUAUAUAUGUAUUUAUAUAUGCAGACUUUGAUCAUGUUAUUUUUUUUAAAGCAGAGCAAUGAUAGAGCAAUGUAAAAUAUGUUGCAAAAUAUUUAUUCUCCUUUUCUGUAUGUGUUAUUUUUGGGGUCAGACUAAAUUUGAAUUACUAUUUUCAAACUUUAUCACGGUCAUUUCACCAUUUACCUUCAUGAACCUCAUGUUUGUGCUAAAGCCGAUGGCAGCACCAGAAACAUAAGGGUUGUGCGAGUGCCGAGUGUGUAUCCAUCAUGUAAUCACAGAAUGAGAAGAGGUAAAGUGGACUGCACGAAUGUUAAGAUAUGUGAUGAUAAGGUAGAUUCUCAAUAUAGGUUUGUUUGCCCAAAUCUUCAACUUCGGAUAUGAAUUUUUCACCCAUCUUUAUGAGGAUAAUGCACCUGAAUGGUUUUUCCACGGUGUGUGAAAAAAAGAUCUCCUUCAAUCAAAGCAAUAUAUGUAAGUCUGGAAUCUUGUUUUAGAAGUGCAAUGUCAAAUUUUGAUUUCUAUAGCCUUGCCAGUAUAGUGUUUCAAGUUGACCCAUAUUGAUAUUUGAAAUAUUGAUGGGGCGGUUUAGCCAAUAUGGCUUUGGAGCUCGGUGACAUUUGUCAAGAUCGAUCAAAAACUGGUUUGCACUCCAAAUUGACGCAGGUAACCAUUUAUUCUGCACAAAGAGAAGACAGAGGAACUGGCAACGUAUGUUUGAAGAGAGGGAUACUGACUUCCGGAAAUUUGUUUAAGUUGCAUGUGACAUCUUUAUAUUUGGUCUUUGGAAUCUGGUAAUGUUGCGAUAAUCUUCAAUCACUGUCUAACCACAAGGAAUGGUGCUCCUUUCAGCUUUAAUAUGCAAGAUAUCCUUGAUAUGCAUGGUAUCCUGGCCAAUCCUCUUCAAAACCUCAUACAAGUCACAUACUUCUUGGAUUCACAGAUGCUGAUAUGAGUGUGGGCCUCUUUGUGGUUGCAUUACAGGUUGCACUGGCCUAAUCACAACUGGCAGGCAAAAGAUAUUCAUUCGACCCAACCCAUUGCUCAAUUGUUAAAUUUGAUAUUGCUGAUUGACAAAAAUGAAUGAAUAUGACUGACAAUCUAACACUGAUUCUAGGGAGGGUACCUACUGAUCUUACUUUUUCCAAUUUGGAAAGAUAUAUCACCACUAUGGAACUAUAUUUUUACUGGCGGAAGAAUUAGGGUCAUUUUACUCUCUCAAGUGAUGAAUUUGAUCUCGUCAGGUGUAGUCUUAAUAAAUGCAGAUUUAUUUUUAAAAUGAGCUGGUCAAGGUACCCUAUUCUGGUUUGAUAUGGAAUGUCAGACAUUUAUCCUAUCCACUGGUAGUAAACAUUCAACCCUCAAAUUUCCUCCUUAUUUUUUAUGAAUUCCUUUUAAGUGCCACUUUAAGUGCCACGUGGAAGCGUUGUGGUGUAGCGGUUCUGACUCUCGCCUUGUAAUCAGAGGGUCGUGUGUUCGAAUCCCGCCAUGGCCUAGUGUCCUUUGGCAAGGCGUUAAUCCACAAUUUGCCACUCUCCACCCAGGUGUUAAAUGGGUACCCGGGAGGAUGCGAAAGCCUAUGUAGUAUGCCUAGCAAUUGAGUCUUGGAACUCUUGUUGGAAUGCUCCCCAGGGAGUGGAGAAGGUGCAUACAUUGUAUGCGGGCAUGCAAGGAUCCGAUGACCGGGGUACCCGGGGGGGCCACUUACAUUGACGAGUGGAUACCACGCGCGACCAAGAAAACACGUAAAAAGGAUGUCUUUUUCAUGAUAGGGCACGUUACGUACGUAACGUGAUAAGGGUGUCAAAAACACAAAAAUAAUAAAAAAGGGUAUCUAUUUCGCUAGAAAAGCUACGUGUUUAGGGUCACAUUUGCGGGGAUGAUAAAACAAAAUUAAAAUGUUGUAUAAAGGAUGUCCUUUUUGCCCCAACACUACGUGUUUACAGUCCCGAUUUGCGCGAGGUGAGGAAGAUGGGACCUUACUAACCCAAAUGGUGUGUAAAUUAGGUAAAACCGACGACCGACGGACCCGUGACACAACAAUAAAAUACUUGUUUAGGGGUUCAUUUCAGGGAAUACUUGCCAAGAGUAUAGUUUCGUUUCCAAUACUUGUUAAGGGUAGGAUUUCAGACGCCAAUACUUGUUAAGGGGUGCAUUUUCAGAACAUGGAAAAUACGUGUUUAGGGUGCUUUUCGAGACCCCGUGGUCGCGCAUGGUAUCCACUCGUCAAUGGAAGUGGCCCCCCCGGGCCGGGGUAAUAAUAAUUAUAUCUGUAAAGCGCUUAGAGACGUCGUUUCGAUGUGUUAAGUGCUAUAUAAAUGCGGAAUAUUAUUAUUAUUAUUAUUUAACACACGAGUCUAUGGGAAAUGAAUUAGGCCUGUGAGCCCUAGAGGAAUUCUCAGUGGAUCUAGUUCCAGGUGGAUUUGUGUCUUUUCUAGCCAUUUGUUGAUAUUUUCCUGUGUUUAUGAGAUUUUCCCAGAUUUAUUUGCCUCUGAUGAAAUGAAAGGCAAUGUGAAGUCUUGGUAUUAUAGAGUCAGAGUCAAUAAAGACAAUUUUUUGCUCCUCAUGCAUGUCUAUAUUGUCACCAAAAGGGAAGCUUCAUACAUCUGAUACAUUUUCUGGCUCAGUCUGUAACUUUAUUAUUAAACCACAAUGCACUUGUUUGAAUUCUGAUAAGGCAGAUAAGGCAAACAUUCUUUAUCUGGAAAGAUUUUGAAUAGAUAUCCUGUGUAAAGGAAACUUAUUCAUGUUCAGGUAUUCAGAAAUGUAAUCCCUUAACCCUAAUUCUCCCGGGGGGGGGGGGGGGGCCAUAAUGCCCCCCCCCCCUCGACAAUUUUCGCGAUAUAUCUGCUGCGCAAAAUUUUUUGACCUCGCCGCUCACUGACUUUUUACUUUCAAGUCUCGCGCAAAUUUUGAGACCAAAUUUGUGACGCUCGGGUACGCGGUUACGACAUUACGCAACAUUAUGUAAGUGCAUGUCAGACCCAAAAUUGCUCAUAAACGUGAUUUCAUGUACAAAUCCAAUGCAAAUUGUGUAUUUAGCCAAAAUUCAUAAAUGUAUCAUUAUUUCUACGUUUACUGAUUAAACUUAAUUAAUUUUGCCUUGUUUAUGAUCAGAAUUAAGUCUGGAACGAUUUCCAUCGAAAAAACAAUAAAAAAACGAAAAGUAAAAAAACAAAGAAAUACAUAAGAAAUUAAAAAAACAAUAAAAUACAUAAGAAAUCGGUCUUGGUACCAGAAUAUUUUUCAUUCACAAUUGUUAGGAAUGCUAUAAAGAAUAUUUUCACCAAAAAUAGCAUUCUAGGAGCUUUAUUUAGUGAAUCAGAGCAAAAAGUAUGAUUUCAUGAAUAAAUUAACAUAAUUAAUUCAUAUAAAAUAAAAAUAUAUGAAUUUAGUGAAAUUUACCAAUGCAACUGCGUAGAUUACGUCAUUCUCUACCAUCAUGCAAAUUUUCGUUGUGAUUGCGCAAUUCGCGGCUGAGAUCUUAAGGGGGGGGGCCAUAAUGGCCCUCUAACCCCCCCCCCCCUCCCCCCGGGAAUGACAAGAAUCAAAAUACCCAGGGAGAUUUAGGGUUAAAGUGAGGGGAAGUUACAGUGUACUGUGUUUAACCCUAUAUAGCCAGGGCUAUUUUGAAAUUGCAUAGCCAGGGGCUUAAGGCUUUUUAGCCACCCCUCCCCCCCCCCCCCCAGAUCUUGGUCGUUGAUUAGGGCCGGUAUUCAAUUUGAUACUUAGGCCAGAAUUUUAAGUACUAGUAUUUAACUCAGUAUUUUGCCAAAAAAAAAAAAAAAACAUCCAUCUUUGGUAUUCAAUUGUAUUUGGCUUAAAUAUAAGUCAGCCACAUUCCAAAGUCUGGCUAGCAUAUACCGUAGUUUACAAACGUGAUAUGCGCAGUCAUACAUUCUGCGCUCAGAUGAUAACAUACAUUGUGCGUUAUUUGGCUCAAACUUUAUCAUGAUGUCAAAAUGGUUGUUACUUGUUAGUAUUUUGCUUAAAUAUGGCUGAAUGAAGUAAAAUACUUGGAUGUGAUCUAAAUAUGAGUUUUUUUUUUAAGCAUGUACCUGCUUAUCAUCAUUGCCAGUUAUUUUGGGAGAAGGACCUCCACUCAAUUAUUCUGAAUUUCAAUAUCCUUUGAUCUUGUGCCAUCUAAAACUCUUUCAUGGGAACUUGCGAGUCUUUCAUUUUCUUUGCAAUGAUCAUACAAUGCAUAAUUUGCAGACCAUCAUAGAAUUAUUUCCUUCUGUCAGAAAAAUUUAUCAGCCAGGUCCUGAAGCUUGACAUGAAGUGAUGCUAGGCUGUUCAUUCAUCCACCUUUCAGUCUGAGGGUAGGGCAGUAAUUGGUAUAUUUUCCAACACUGUCCCUGUGGCUAAAACACAUGGUUUCCUAUAUCCAGCAUGGAACAAGUUUGGGAAAUUUUGUUGGGUGCUGUCUGUUAGAUUUGACAUUGCAUGUUUUGGAAGACUGUUCCAACUCUCUGUGACCCUUUGGCUAAAGAAGUGGUUUCCUCCAUCCAGUCUGGAACAACUUUGGGCAAUUUUAUUGGGUGCUGUCUGUGAGAGUUGUCAUUGGUUCUUGAUGACCAUUUGGCUGAAUAUAUCCAUGGAAAGAUUUUUUCAAAAUAAUUUAUUGGACGUCUUCUUUGAAAUUUGACAUUUUGCUUCACUACUAGGGUUCAUGCAUUGUAUUGUAAUGAUUGAUGGGGGAUUAUAGACCAUUGUGGGAUAUGAAGUGUACUCCCUCAGGACAAGCCUAUGUUGAGGUCCUAACCCAUUAGAUCUAUCUUUCAUUGUCGGUGCCUCGCCUGAUCUCUCAGAGUUCAUGGUUGCACGAUGGAUACAGUAGGCAAGCAAACAUUUGGUUCAUGUAUGAUGGUGAAUUAAUAAAUUAGCUUGACAGGGAUUGGUUUCUAUUUUGAUCAAAAUGCAGUUUUCAUUGAAAUUCAUAGAAACGCUAUUGCAUCAUGUACGGAAAAGGGUAUAUUUAAUUUGCAAUAUAUUUUUACUAUGUUUCAUUUGCUCUUUUGAAAAAAAAAGCCCCCCACCCAGAAAAAAAAAAAAAAAAAAAAGCACACAAAAAAUAGCCAAUGAUUUUUUUUAAUGUGAUGUAUAAAUUGACUUGUUUAAUAAAAAUAUGAAAAUGAUUAGUGAUAAUACUAAAAAAAUAUUAAAUUGAAAAUUAGAACUCUGUAGGGUCAGUCAUGGAUAGUUAAUGUUGAAAGGAUGUGAAAUGAUUGAAAAUGGGCAGAUACAGGGAGUUAGUGAUUAUCACUGAUUUGCUCUAAGCCAAUCAGAUGCAAGGAUUUGUCGGUGAAAAUCACUGACAAAAAUCUUCAUGAAAUGCUUCCCUGGAUGGAUAGUACAGGGAGGUAUACGAAUAGAGCACAAUCAGUGGAUUAAAUGCUAUUUGUAUUGAAUGGGGGAGGGGGUGGUGGUUUUGUUCCAGGGCGAAUGAAAAGACUACAAAGGAGAUUAAAAGACAGAAUCUUAUGGCAAGGAAGGGGAGUAGUUUGGAAAGAUUGAGGGGGGGUUAAAAGAAAUUGCUUCUUGAGGCAAAUUUCAGAUGAAUAUGAAUUAAGUUCCCCCCCCAAAAAAAAAGUAGUAACUGUUGCCCCCAGGAACACAAUCACUUGGAAAGUUGAUCGAUUGUCUUGCAUACUAUUGGCUACAUGAAAUAUCAUUUAAAUCAUUAACAAAGCCCUUUCAUUGUGGCAAGUUGUAUACCAUGCACAACAGUAUCCAGUUGCCCUUCUCUGUGCACUGAAAGAUAGGUCUCUCAGUGGUGAUGUCACAUAUUGUGUGAUUUUGUCAGGAAGACCCCAGCUCGGACAAGGCUGCUGGUCAUUUUGUGAGGGGGUAGGGUUUGCCCCAUUGAAUUCAGAGGUCCGCUGCUAUGGUAUCCUGUAUACUUGAAUGAAUCUUCUUGGCUGCUGGUCAUUUUUUUUUGUUCACUUUCUUUGUAAAAAUGAAUUAAAAAUCUUAUAAAUUAAAACUUA